CUAAACAGAAACAAACACGUGACAGUAAGUGCUUGUCUUGCUUAGUCUUGUUGUUUUGUCUCAGAUUACAGCAGUUGAAAAGCACCAUUCAGAAUGACGUGUGUGAUAGUCUAGAAUAUAAGAAACAAAUCUUCUCUGUGGAGAUGUCUUUGAUGAAGAAGAACAUGAAGUCAGUUCAGGAGCGUUUCUUCAAAGAAAUGCACGAGGAAGAGUUGACGAGUGUGGGAAGAGCACUGCAAUCCUUGUUCUUCCCUGAUACAUCGAGGUUCUGACCUGAGGGGAAAAAAAUCUGCCGUUUGAAAAUCACUUUAAGCUACUCCUAAAAUGUGUUUGUAUGCUUGGAUAUCAUUAAUGUUAUGUUCUUUUAAAUUUUUCCUACUCAAAAGGUUUAAUAUUUGUACUUCAUGCCGUUUAUUCUGGUCUUCGUGAAAAAAUGGUUGGCUGUACAUGGUUUUUGCGCACAUAUUUGCUUAUAUAUGCCAUAUAUGGUUUUUAAUAUGAAUAGUUGUGAAAAGCAAAUAAGUAAAUGUUAUAGGUAAUGUAAGAACAAAUGCAUUUAUUUCAAACAUCCCACCUCAUAAUAAUCAACUUCAGAUUUAUAUGUGCAGAAAUGAAAAAGGGAUACUGGAUUCUGAAACCAUCAUAAGAACUUUUUUUGCAUUCACUAGCAAGGGCCUGAAUAAGCAAUCCUCAUGGGUUCAGUUGAUGGGAGAUGUUGAAAAAUAAACACAGAAAGCUUUACUGAAA